UUUCUAAUCUGAAAGCCAGAACUUUUAAGACAUUUCUGUCUCUAGUCAGGGCAUGAGGAGGGCACUAUCCAAAUAUUUCUGUGAUCUGUAACAAUCAACUGAU